rnacentral:lncRNA from 1 species
UGAGAGGGAGAGCAGAUGUCAGGAGGAGCUACACCCACAUUCCGGGGAGGGGCCGCUGCUGGGUGGGGGGCACGUGGGGACCUGCACUCAUGCAAGCUUCUGCUCUGCUGCACCCACCAGCCCCGUCCUUGCCCGCACCCUUGCCUGCUUCCCUGGCUGGCUCCCACUUGCCUCCCGUGCCAGGUGCUUCUGGGGCUCAGCAGGAGAGGAAAGGGGCAGAGGGGCAUAGGGUCCCUCGGGUACGGUGGGGGCAGGCGGGCGCACAGCGCUCCGGCUCUGAGCCAGGCCUGUGAGGGAAGGGGCUGCAGGCUGGCAGGGUGCCGACUUCCCCCAUGGCUGCUGUGAGCCCGCAGAGUCAUCCUUGGCCCCGUCCCGCCCUUGGGGAAGAAUGGGCCCCUCUGUCCUCAGGCCCCUUCGACGUGCUGAGCAUCCAGACGUGGCGAGGAGCCCGAAGGGUGUGGGGUCCCCUCUGCAGGGUCCUGCUUGUUGCCUGUUUCCGGCGGGCGGGGUGCACAAUGGGGUCUCUAAGGACCGUUUCCCGCCACUGGCCCCAUUGUCACUGUCUCCGCCUUCCUCCUCGGCCUUUCAGCCGCAUAAAGGGCCAGUGAGGUUUGGGACAGCCACAGCCCAAGGCUCCGAGGCUAAAAGCCCCUGGGUGGGGGUGUUCCAGGACACCUGGCCCUGUGUGAGCUGCCUCCUCUCACCCCAACCCCUCGGAUCCUGGGAAAGAGACAGCCAUGGCUCAAGGGCCAGGGACCCCUGGGCUGAGCCCCAGAAAUGGCUUUCCAUUCUCGCCUGGGCCGGGGUGGGGGUGGAGGCCAGAGGCCCUGCCCAGGCAGAUGAAGCCCCCAGCUUUCAAGGGGGAAACUGAGGCUGUGUGAGGGACACAGCUGUGCAGGGCCCACAAACACGGUCCUUUCUCUAGGUUAGCGGAUGCAGAUGCCUGAUGAGUGCCAUGCCCUCUGUGGACACCUGGGGAGGGGGGUCACCUCCAGCGCCGCCCUGGGACUUCCACUGCACGUGCAAGAGACUUACCCUUUCACACAGAUCACCUGCCUGCCGCAGGGCUGAUGAGGAUGGGUGAGGAGCGCAGCCACUGGGUGUCAUGCACUGUGGGGGUUCUCCCACCUUCUGCCCCUCCUCAGGUUCCUUGCUGCUUCUCUCCUCUCCCAACUGUGGCACGCUGAGGGCUCAGGCACAGGACCGCUCCUCUGGGGCAGCCUCCAAUAACCCUUGGACAACCUCCACUUUUUCAUCUUCAGCCCUGACCACUCCCUGGGGCCCAUAGCCUUACAUCCAUCUGCCCCCAGCCCAAACACUUCUGCAAACACUAGAAAAGGAGGUAGCCCGUGUGCCCUCCUGCACCGCCUCCUCCACUCCUGUCUUGGAGAGGCUUUCCCGUGGGCCGAGCAACCCCCUUACCUUUGGCACUUGCCCUGAUUCUCUGGCCAGCUUCCUACAACCUCUCCUUUUCAGCCACACCCAAGUCCACCUGUUCACAAACACCCUGGGCUGGGCCCUGGCCGAACCCUGGCUUCUACCUACCUGUCUCAGGAAGUGCCUGAGCCUUGCACCUACAGACCCUCCCAGAGAAAGCCCUGGCUUUGCAACCAGCUGUCUUCUCAUGAGACACAGGGCCACAGGAGCACCACGGUGCCCAAAUGGGUCUUGGAGCAUUAGACCAGGGGCUUCAUGCCUGCCCUGGGGACAGGUGGCCAAAGUGGCAUGGGAGAUAGGGAGACAGUGUGGGUGAGCAGGUGGGCAGGAGCUACAGGAGCCUGGGGCCUGUGGAUCACAGACACCGCCAGGCAAGUGCCAGUUCACACAGGUACAGGUGGCUGCAGAGUGCCCAAAGGCCAAGCAGCAGAGUGCCUGGUGUGGACGGGAGAGGAGUGGGGAGGUUGGGCGCAGUGGCUCACGCCUGUAAUCCCAACACUUUGGGAGGCCCAGGCAAGCAGAUCAUGAGGUCAGGAGAUGGAGACCAUCCUGGCCAACAUGGUGAAACCGUCUCUAAUAAAACACAAAAAAUUAGCCAG